AUUGAACGCUGGCGGCAGGCCUAACACAUGCAAGUCGAGCGGUAGAGCGAAGCUUGCUUCUCUUGAGAGCGGCGGACGGGUGAGUAAUGCCUAGGAAUCUGCCUGGUAGUGGGGGAUAACGUUCGGAAACGGACGCUAAUACCGCAUACGUCCUACGGGAGAAAGCAGGGGACCUUCGGGCCUUGCGCUAUCAGAUGAGCCUAGGUCGGAUUAGCUAGUUGGUGGGGUAAUGGCUCACCAAGGCGACGAUCCGUAACUGGUCUGAGAGGAUGAUCAGUCACACUGGAACUGAGACACGGUCCAGACUCCUACGGGAGGCAGCAGUGGGGAAUAUUGGACAAUGGGCGAAAGCCUGAUCCAGCCAUGCCGCGUGUGUGAAGAAGGUCUUCGGAUUGUAAAGCACUUUAAGUUGGGAGGAAGGGCAGUAAAUUAAUACUUUGCUGUUUUGACGUUACCGACAGAAUAAGCACCGGCUAACUCUGCG
rnacentral:rRNA from 1 species